rnacentral:ncRNA from 1 species
UUUUGUUCUUUAUUUAAUUAUUUUGAUAUAAAUAGGUAUAAAUAUAUGUUUUUUAUAAAAGUUUGAUCCUUGCUUUUCUCUUUAUUAUAAGAAUGACGUUACAUGAAAGUUAAUGCGAGAGUGAUUGAAAAUAAAGUUUUUUAAUUAGUUCUCAGUACAUAGUUUUGGUGCUAAGUUAAUACUUGACCCAGUAAUUCUUUAAUUUCAGGCUAAAUUUGUGCCAGCAGCCGCGGUUAGACUAAAAAGUGAAAAUAAAGAUAAAAAGAUAUUAGUUAAAAUAGAAAUUUUAAAAAUUUAAGAUCAUGGGCCUAAGGGGUGAAAUCUAUAUACUUAUUAGUGAUGUGUUGUUUUUGAGAUUUAUUUUAAAACUAUCGAAAUUUAGAUUUAAACCAGGAUUAGAUACCCUGUUAUACUAAAAUGAAACAUAAUUACGCUUGAGUAGUAAAAAGUUAUGAUCUCGAAACUUAGAGGAUUUGGCGGUAUUUAACUCUAGUUAGAGGAACCUGCUCUGUAAACGAUAUGCCACGAAUUAUCUUACUUUAUCUUGUAUCCAGUUUGUAUACCUCCAUUACAAGUAAUAUUUUUAAAUAUUUUCUGAGAUAGAAAGCUUCUAAUAUAUUAGGUCAAGGUGCAGCUAAUGGUAAAGUAGCUGUGGGUUACAAUAUGUUAUACAUCUAUGGAUAAGUAUUAUGAAAUUAUGCUUUGAAAUUGGAUUUAAUUGUAUUCUUAAAAUAAUAAGUUAAGAUGAUAAUAGCUCUAAAAUAUGUACACAUCGCCCGUCGCUCUCAUUAUAAGGUGAGAUAAGUCGUAACAUAGUGGUUGUAUUGGAAGAUGCAUCUGGAAGUA